AAUCCUGUGGAUCAUCCCAUUCCGUGCGGCCCUUUGUUUUGUGUUUUCACCUCUUUUUAAUUGAUGACCAAGCUUUUGGUUGAGACAUUUCGCUGUUUAAUCAAUAGCUGGCUAUAAGCAUGGCGUUAUGGUGUUCUUUUAGUUCUUGUUUGCCAUCUUAUUGAUGCUAUAAGCUACUGUUAAUGUUGAUGGGAUGAUUCAGAGUCAAAUCUACAUGG
rnacentral:misc_RNA from 1 species